UACGAAGGGGGCUAGCGUUGUUCGGAAUUACUGGGCGUAAAGCGCACGCAGGCGGUUCGCCAAGUUUGGCGUGACAGUUGUCGGCUCAACCGACAAAGGACUUCAAAAACUGGUGAACUUGAGGACGAGAGAGGAACAUGGAACUCCAGGUGUAGUAGUGAAAUGCGUAGAUAUCUGGAAGAACACCAAUGGCGAAGGCAAUGUUCUGGCUCGUUUCUGACGCUCAGGUGCGAAAGCCAGGGGAGCGAACGGG
rnacentral:rRNA from 1 species